ACCUCAAAUUAGGCAAGACAACGCCGUGAACUAAAGCAUUUCAGUAACGGCAGGAAAAGAAAAUAACAAUGAUUCCCUCAGUAACUGCGAGUGAAGUGGGAAAAGUCCAAUGUUGAAAGCAGCAUCUGUAAAAGGGUGUGGCAUUGUAACAUAUAGACCGAUCAUCGAGGUGUUUAGUUGUGCUAAAGUCGUUAAGAAUGGCGCACCAUAGAGGGUGAUAGUCCCGUAUAUGGUACAGCAUAAGCAUUGUGAAUGAUCGUGUCAUAGAGUCGGGCUGUUUGGGAAUGCAGUCUAAAGUGGGUGGUAAACUCUACCAAAGACUAAAUAUAGCUUCGAGACCGAUAGCGAACAAGUACCGUGAGGGAAAGUUGAAAAGCACUCUGAAAAGAAAGUGAAAAGUACGUGAAACCGUCAAUGGGGAAGCGGACAGUGUAAUCGAAGCAUCUAGCUGUUUGCGGUAAGUUUUACUACUUAUCGAUUAGCAGAAAGAUGCGCGCUAGACUGUUUAGUGGUUUACUGGUAGCGUGACGAGUUAUAGAGAUGAAUAUUUCCAUGAGGAUAUGUUCGCUUUAUAGUCGUCGUGGUCUAUUUUAGAGUAAAUUGUUAAACAUGUAUGUGUGAGUAAUAGUUAUGCUGGUGUGGGCGGGCAUUGUAGUUUGAUUGUAAUACAGUUAGAUGCAGUGUUCGUGCGUGUUAGUAUGGCUGUUGCCAAAACGAUAGUUGCACAUGUAUUCUAGCGAGAUAUGACACUUUCCGACCCGUCUUGAAACACGGACCAAGGAGGCUAACUUGUGCGCGAGUCGAGAAGUGGAGAAACUUUAUGGCGAAACGAAAGUGAAAUGUGAGAUCUUGUGUUUAACAGCAUAAGCGUAUCACAGGCCAGUUGAAGGGUUGCCUUCGAUUGAGUUGGAGCGUACAGGCUAGGACCCGAAAGGUGGUGACCUAUUCCUGAGGAGAGCGAAUUCAUUGGAAACAAUGAUGGAGGCUCGUAGCGAUUCUGACGUGCAAAUCGAUCGUCAAACUUGGGUAUAGGGGCGAAAGACUAAUCGAACCACCUAGUAGCUGGUUCCCUCCGAAAUAUCCCUCAGGAUCGCCGAAACUUAAGGCAGUUUCAUCGGGUAGAGCUAAUGAUUAGAGGAUUCGUGGGCUAUUUAUAGCCUCGACCUAUUCUCAAACUGCAAACCGGUGAUUACAUUAACGUUUUCUUAGUUGAAUUGUUAAUGGCUGAAUGUGUGAGUUUCGAGUGGGCCAUUUUUGGUAAGCAGAACUGGCGAUGCGGGAUGAACCGAGAGUCGGGUUAAAGUGCCUAAAUAGAGGCAGACGGAUACCACAAAAGGAGUUGAUGAAUUAUGACAGUAAGGCUGUGGUCCUGAAAGUAGACAUCAGCUAAGAAGUGUGCAACAACUUACUUACCGAAUUCAUCGGCCCUGAAAAUGGAUGGCGCUUAGCCUUUUACUGAUACCCGACCGUGGACGCGAGAAAUGAUUCGUUCAUGGGUAGGAGGGUGUUAUGGUUGCGAAGAAGCUUGCAUGUGAGUGUAAGUGGAGCAGCUAUAAGUACAGAUCUUGGUUUUAGUAGCAGCGUAUAGAAGUGAGAACCUUCUAGACCGAAGUGGAGAAGGGUUCCUCGUGAACAGCAGUUGGACGAGGGUUAGUCGGUCCUAAGCAGCAGCCUACAAGCUGAACCAUAGAAGACGUUUUGUAGUUAGUAUGCUUGCAUGCGAUACAUCGUCUUAGUCUGCGAAAGGGAAUCAGGUUAAUAUUCCUGAACCAAGCGUCGGAUAGUUGGUAUUGUUUCUGGUAGUAUCCGAGCGGGACUCGUGCUUGCGAGGUGCUAUCAGGGCAGUAUCAGCAAAGCGGUAACGCAAGCGAACUCGGAGAUGUUGUUGAUAGUUCUGGAAAGAGUUAUCUUUUCUGUUUAACCGAUUGAGCGAGCCUGGAGUAGAGUCAUUCGGAGAUAGGCUUGACAAUUGGGAAGAGCGCCGCAUUUUAGUGACGUCUGGAAUACUGUCAAUGAUCCGUGAAAAUCCGAGGGAGUGGUUAAUUUUCGCGCUUGGCCGUACCGAGAUCCGCAUCAGGUCUCCAAGGUGAAUAGCCUCUGGUUCUAGAAUAAUGUGGGUAAGGGAAGUCGGCAAAAUAGAUUCGUAACUUCGGGAAAAGGAUUGGCUCUAAGGAUUGGACUGUUUGGACCAGUAGAUACUGAUUGUGGUUCUUGUAUACGGCUUUUGAGAUGGGAGUGGGUUUCGGCUUACUUGCGUCUUGGAAGCUGUUAACGAGAUACCGUGGUCUUUGUCUGCUGGUUUGUAUCGAUGCAUUGUUGGCCGCGUGUCGGCAGUGUGUUGAUGCCUCGCAGGCAGUUGAUAUCAAUCAACUUAGAACUGUCACUGACUAGGGGAAUCCGACUGUUUAAUUAAAACAAAGCAUUGCGAUGGCUGGAAACGGUGUUGACGCAAUGUGAUUUCUGCCCAGUGCUC
rnacentral:rRNA from 1 species